rnacentral:rRNA from 1 species
GAUGAACGCUGGCGGCGUGCCUAAUACAUGCAAGUCGAACGCUGAAGGAGGAGCUUGCUCUUCUGGAUGAGUUGCGAACGGGUGAGUAACGCGUAGGUAACCUGCCUGGUAGCGGGGGAUAACUAUUGGAAACGAUAGCUAAUACCGCAUGACAACAGUUAUUGCAUGAUAACUGUUUAAAAGGGGCAACUGCUCCACUACCAGAUGGACCUGCGUUGUAUUAGCUAGUUGGUGAGGUAACGGCUCACCAAGGCGACGAUACAUAGCCGACCUGAGAGGGUGAUCGGCCACACUGGGACUGAGACACGGCCCAGACUCCUACGGGAGGCAGCAGUAGGGAAUCUUCGGCAAUGGACGGAAGUCUGACCGAGCAACGCCGCGUGAGUGAAGAAGGUUGUCGGAUCGUAAAGCUCUGUUGUAAGAGAAGAACGAGUGUGAGAGUGGAAAGUUCACACUGUGACGGUAGCUUACCAGAAAGGGACGGCUAACUACGUG